rnacentral:rRNA from 1 species
GAUGAACGCUAGCGGGAGGCCUAACACAUGCAAGCCGAGCGGUAGAGUUUCUUCUGAAACUUGAGAGCGGCGCACGGGUGCGUAACACGUGUGCAACCUACCUUUAUCUGGGGGAUAGCCUUUCGAAAGGAAGAUUAAUACCCCAUAAUAUAAUGAUUGGCAUCAAUUAUUAUUGAAAACUCCGGUGGAUAGAGAUGGGCACGCGCAAGAUUAGAUAGUUGGUGAGGUAACGGCUCACCAAGUCAAUGAUCUUUAGGGGUCCUGAGAGGGAGAUCCCCCACACUGGUACUGAGACACGGACCAGACUCAUACGGGAGGCAGCAGUGAGGAAUAUUGGACAAUGGGUGAGAGCCUGAUCCAGCCAUCCCGCGUGAAGGAUGACGGUCCUAUGGAUUGUAAACUUCUUUUGUACAGGGAUAAACCUACCCUCGUGAGGGUAGCUGACGGUACUGUACGAAUAAGCACCGGCUAACUCCGUG